rnacentral:lncRNA from 1 species
AAGAGGUGAUCUACGUCUUGGUGAUGGAGACCGGCGAUGGGGAGUUGAUGGAGAUCUCUGAUACCUACGGCGGAAGGGGGAGGGUGAUUUGCGUCUUGAAGGAGGAGAUCUCCGGCGAAUAAGUGAGGGUGACCUACGCUGCAUUGGUGAGGGUGAUCUACGCCACACAGGUGAAGGUGAUCGUCGUCGAAGGGGCAGAGGUGAUCUUCUACGUCGAAGGGGUGAAGGAGAUCUACGUCGGCGGAUAGGUGAGGGUGAUCUACGACGUUGGAUGGGUGAGGGUGAUCUACGGCGUCGAAUGGGUGAGGGAGAUCUACGGCGCCGAAUAGGUGAGGGAGAUCUACGUCGACUAAGUGAGGGAGACCUACGCCGGAUUGGUGAAGGAGAUCUGCGUCUAAAUGGAGAGUGCAAUCUACGUCGUACUGGAGAAGGUGACAUGUGGCGUGAAGAUGAUCUUGAUCUUGGCCUAGAAUACCUU